UACAGAGGUCCCGAGCGUUGUUCGGAUUCACUGGGCGUAAAGGGUGCGUAGGUGGUGGUGUAAGUUUGAUGUGAAAUCUCCGGGCUUAACCUGGAAAUGGCAUUGAAUACUGCAUUGCUGGAGGUUUGGAGGGGGGACUGGAAUUCUCGGUGUAGCAGUGAAAUGCGUAGAUAUCGAGAGGAACACCAGUGGCGAAGGCGAGUCCCUGGACAAAACCUGACACUGAGGCACGAAAGCCGGGGGAGCAAACAGG
rnacentral:rRNA from 1 species